UCUUCAUUGCAGUGCAUGCUAUUGAUGGAUGAUGAUAAUCUUUUUCUGGAGUACGCAUGUAGAAUAAAUGAGCUCUCCUGUUCACUUUCUAAGCCAUAAUCUCAUUAUGUAGAUCUACAGUCAUGAGCUAUAUUUCCUGCUUUGUAAGAGAGGUUGCAAAAACUUUUGCACAGAAGAAUACAAGUCAGCCUUUGAAAUGAGAAUUCCUGCUUAUGAGACUAGGCAUGGCUUGAUAAUCAGCAGUGAAGUUGCAAGAAUUCCAAGGGUAAUCAUGAGAGACUUCGUGGACUUGCAAUGACUGGGAUAAAAAUGUGAGAAAUAAGUGUGCCUGCAGUCUCUCUGCAAGGAUCUGUAACCUCAUCCAGCCUCUACUAUUGCCAUCAAAUCAGAUAUCAAGGUGCCAUUUCUAUUUGAAAAGUCUGUGUGCUUGUAGCUAUGCAAAACCACCAGCGACACAUUUUCUGUGGGGUGGAGGAGGGGAAAAUAAGAUACUUUGUACCCACUAAUAAGACACAACAUUUUGUAAAGCAGGGAGAAGAUCACAUCAAAUUACUAAAAAACCUGAUCUAAGUCUCCAGAAGCAGUAAAGUUUUAGUUUAUUGCCAACAUGAUGUACUCCAAGAACAGCAUUUGAGGCAAG